rnacentral:rRNA from 1 species
UAGGGAAUCUUCGGCAAUGGACGGAANNUUGGACCGAGCAACGCCGCGUGAGUGAAGAAGGUUCUCGGAUCGUAAAGCUCUGUUGUAAGAGAAGAACGAGUGUGAGAGUGGAAAGUUCACACUGUGACGGUAUCUUACCAGAAAGGGACGGCUAACUACGUGCCAGCAGCCGCGGUAAUACGUAGGUCCCGAGCGUUGUCCGGAUUUAUUGGGCGUAAAGCGAGCGCAGGCGGUUAGAUAAGUCUGAAGUUAAAGGCUGUGGCUUAACCGUAGUACGCUUUGGAAACUGUUUAACUUGAGUGCAAGAGGGGAGAGUGGAAUUCCAUGUGUAGCGGUGAAAUGCGUAGAUAUAUGGAGGAACACCGGUGGCGAAAGCGGCUCUCUGGCUUGUAACUGACGCUGAGGCUCGAAAGCGUGGGGAGCAAACAGGAUUAGAUACCCUGGUAGUCCACGCCGUAAACGAUGAGUGCUAGGUGUUAGGUCCUUUCCGGGACUUAGUGCCGCAGCUAACGCAUUAAGCACUCCGCCUGGGGAGUACGACCGCAAGGUUG